rnacentral:rRNA from 1 species
AUUGAACGCUGGCGGCAGGCUUAACACAUGCAAGUCGAGCGAGUGGCGGACGGGUGAGUAAUGUCUGGGAAACUGCCUGAUGGCGGGGGAUAACUACUGGAAACGGUAGCUAAUACCGCAUACCAUCAGAUGUGCCCAGAUGGGAUUAGCUAGUAGGUGGGGUAAUGGCUCACCGAGGCGACGAUCCCUAGCUGGUCUGAGAGGAUGACCAGCCGCACAGGAACGGAGACACGGUCCAGACUCCUACGGGAGGCAGCAGUGGGGAAUAGUGCACGAUGGGCGCAAGCCUGAUGCAGCCAUGCCGCGAGUGUGAGGGAGGCCUUCGGGUUGUAAAGUACUUUCAGCGAGGAGGCGUUACUCGCAGAAGAAGCACCGGCUAACUACGUGCCAGCAGCCGCGGUAAUAC